AGGAAGUGAGAGUCCUUGAUGGGCCACACUCACAAACAUCAGACGGGGACACGAGAAGAGGAGAAACAGAUCGUUGGAGACGAACUUUGUUGACUUUGCUAGAGAACAGCUUUCGGAAUACCUGAACUGACACCUAAUACAGCGAAUGAGACAACCAGCAGAACAGAGCACAGAACAUCUGACACAGAAAUGUUUUUAUUUUACUCUUCCACCUCAUCCAGUAAACAUCAGUGGCCCAAGUCUUUUGACAUUCCUGACUUUUCUGUUGAUAUCAACUACAGACUCUGUCAGGAAGACCUGUUGCACACGAGGGAUGGAACUUACCUCACUGUGUCUAGAGACAUGAAACAUGAAAUACUACAAAAGUUGGCUGAGUGCAUGUACUCAUUUAAAGUUUACCCUACUGACGAAGAUUUUGCUGAAGUUGCCGCAGCCCUUAUCAAAAAGCAUCCCUGUCUUUGAGAGCAAGGGUCACCAACGGGCUGGUAUGGGUGGAAAAAUAGUCUUAAAUUUAAGAUGGGCAUUUACCGGUCCAAUCUCAAAAAAGCUGGAUGCCUUAUGUCACAGUUAAUGGAGGAAGAAGGGGCAAGUUUUCAACUGAAGGACAGCCUCCAAAACAGAACAUAAAAUAACAUGAAGAGAUUAAACAAAUUACCUUCCGAAUUUCCCCUCGGGAAAAGAUGAAAUAUGUCUUGAAAAAGAAGUGCUUGUAGAAGAAAUGCAAAAAAGAGCACCGAACAAGACCCUAGUUGCCCAAAAGAUGGGCCAAACAUUUCCUUUAUGAAGAAAAGAGAUCACCUGUCAGAACAAUGAUGGGACACUGGCCGGCACUUUUUACUGAGCGUGAGGUGUUUGCAGAAUUUCCUAGGAUUGCCUGUAAAAACCUUCAGAAGUCAUUCUUUGGUGAACUUGACAGAAACACACCCUGUCUACUACAGAUUUUCUAGUAUAAAACAGGAGCCACGGGUCAGGCCUUGUCAGAAUUAUUGGAGUAACUUGAGUCAAGGAAGAUCAUCAAGUA